GUUCCCCUGUGCUGUGCCCGUGGUGUCCCUGCGCCCGUGGUGUCCCUGUGCCAUGUCCCUGUGCCGUGUCCCUGUGCUGUGCCACGUCCCCGUGCCACGCUGCAGCCUCAUGCCUAUUGCACCACCCUCCAUCCUCGUGCCCCGUGGCCUGUCCUCGUGUCCACCGCAUCCUCGUGUCCACCGCGUCCUCGUGCCCGUGGCGAGCGGGGCAGGACGGGUCCCGUGGUGCCACAGCCACGUCGGUGCCACGUCGCAUCCCUCCCGCCGCCCCCACCGGGCUCGGUGCGGUGCCGUUGCCUGGUGACAGCUUCGUGGCCGCCCACGCAGGGAGCUGCCGGCGGCACUGCCGCAGGGCUGGGGGCGGCCGUGGCCCCCCCCCUCACACCCCAGGGCUGGGGGGCUGGGGGGGGUGCCGGGGGUGUCCGGGCACCGCCUCACCCCGCUCCUCCCUGCAGAGGCCUUGGUGAACAGCCAGGAAUGGACCCUCGGCCGCUCCGUCCCCGAGAUCCGCCUGGUGGGUACCGUGUCCUGGUGGCCCUGCCCCGUGUCCUGGUGGCCCCCCAGCCGUGCUGAUGUCCCCUCUGUCCUCCCCCCAGGGCGUCCUGGGCAGCAGCAAGAGCGGGAAGUCGGCGCUCGUCCACCGCUUCCUCACCGGCUCCUACGUGGGGCUGGAGCCCACGGAGAGUGAGUGGCCGUGGGAUGGGGGCGGCUGCGGGGUGGGGGCUGCUGUAGGGUUGGCCAUGGCCAUGGGACACGUGUGGCCAUGAGGUGGCCGUGGCCAUGGGACAGACGUGGUGGCCAAGAGAGGGACAUGGCCAUGGGAUGGAUGUGGUGGCCAUGGGAUGGACGUGGCCAUGGGAUGGACGUGUCCGUGGGACAGGC
rnacentral:lncRNA from 1 species